rnacentral:misc_RNA from 1 species
AACUUGUAGCAACGUAUCACGUGGUUCUGGCAUCGAUUAAGAACGCAGCGAAAUGCGAUAAGUAAUGUGAAUUGCAGAAUUCAGUGAAUCAUCGAAUCUUUGAACGCACAUUGCGCCCGGGAGCAUUCUCCCGGGCAUGCCUGUUCGAGCGUCAUUUCAACCCUCGAUUUCCCUUUGGGGAAGUCGGCCGUUGGAGAUCGGCAGCACUGCCGGCUCCCAAAUACAGUGGCGACCCGCCGCGGGGACCCCUGCGUAGUAACUUACACUCGCACCGGAAACCAGACGUGUCACGCCGUAAAACCCCCAACUUUCUGAACGUUGACCUCGGAUCAGGUAGGAAUACCCGCUGAACUUAAGCAUAUCAAUAAGCGGAGGCU